rnacentral:rRNA from 1 species
UGUUCCCUGACCCAAAUCCUCCCUGCGUACCAAUCAAUGUUGCUUUCCCAGGUGGUUGGCCCCGGCAGCCACCCAAUACUGCCUGCUAGGCGAGUUAACCAGUGGUCUGAAUAUCACUUGGAGAACUCGAUCCUGUCCUGACAGAGUGAGCUCAAUAUGUCGGUGAGUUCAAUUUGUACCUGUCAGGAUGGGCUAUGCGGGUACCUGGGAGAGGGCUCAUCCAAAGCGAAUAAUUGAAUCAGCUGUCUGAGUUGGCCCAGUGCCGUAUUCUUUGAAUAAGUUAAAACUUUCAACAACGGAUCUCUUGGCUCUCGCAUCGAUGAAGAACGCAGCGAAAUGCGAUAAGUAAUGUGAAUUGCAGAAUUCAGUGAAUCAUCGAAUCUUUGAACGCACAUUGCACCCCUUGGUAUUCCUUGGGGCAUGCCUGUUCGAGCGUCACUGCAAACCCCCUCAUAGAAAUUAUGGUAUUGAUGGAAGUGAACUAAGCCUACCAAUUUGCUUAGGUCACCCCAUCGAAAUGCAUAGGCAGGACAAUCAACCUCCGCAAUGGACUUAGUAGCUGUUUUGAAGACAUGAAUCAGUCCUUUGCUAGGUUCUGGCCUGGCCUCCAUGGACCUCCAUCCAAAAUGAACUCUGGGUUGACCUCGGAUCAGGUAGGGAUACCCGCUGAACUUAAGCAUAUCAUA